rfam:Clostridium chauvoei JF4335, WGS project CBML01000000 data, contig: 00016
AUAGUCGCACAUUUUAUUACUCGUAUAUCCCCUGAAUAUGGCAGGGAGUAUCUACCGGAAACCUUAAAUUUCCGACUAUGGGUGAAUUUGAUAUAGCU